rnacentral:tRNA from 1 species
GGAUUGUGGCUCAAUGGUAGAGCACUUGCCUUGCACGCAUGAGGCACUGGGUUCAAUCUUUAGCACCA